rnacentral:rRNA from 1 species
CUGACUGACCGAUAGUGAACCAGUACCGUGAGGGAAAGGCGAAAAGAACCCCGGCGAGGGGAGUGAAAAAGAACCUGAAACCGUGUACGUACAAGCAGUGGGAGCACCUUUAUGGUGUGACUGCGUACCUUUUGUAUAAUGGGUCAGCGACUUAUAUUCUGUAGCAAGGUUAACCGUAUAGGGGAGCCGCAGGGAAACCGAGUCUUAACUGGGCGUUAAGUUGCAGGGUAUAGACCCGAAACCCGGUGAUCUAGCCAUGGGCAGGUUGAAGGUUGGGUAACACUAACUGGAGGACCGAACCGACUAAUGUUGAAAAAUUAGCGGAUGACUUGUGGCUGGGGGUGAAAGGCCAAUCAAACCGGGAGAUAGCUGGUUCUCCCCGAAAGCUAUUUAGGUAGCGCCUCGUGAACUCAUCUUCGGGGGUAGAGCACUGUUUCGGCUAGGGGGUCAUCCCGACUUACCAACCCGAUGCAAACUACGAAUACCGAAGAAUGUUAUCACGGGAGACACACGGCGGGUGCUAACGUCCGUCGUGAAGAGGGAAACAACCCAGACCGCCAGCUAAGGUCCCAAAGUCAUGGUUAAGUGGGAAACGAUGUGGGAAGGCACAGACAGCCAGGAUGUUGGCUUAGAAGCAGCCAUCAUUUAAAGAAAGCGUAAUAGCUCACUGGUCGAGUCGGCCUGCGCGGAAGAUGUAACGGGGCUAAACCAUGCA